rnacentral:miRNA from 1 species
GGGGGUGUCUGAUGAAUCUUGCUGGGGCCUCCAAAUCUCGUGACUCACACAGCUGAGAAGGAGACACAGACCCCACUUAAAUGUAAUUAAUUAAUAGAAAUUUAUU